AUUAACGCUGGCGGUGUGUCUAAUACAUGCAAGUCAAGGGGGCCCGCAAGGGCAACCGGCAAACGGGUGAGUAACACGUUGGAAUCUACCUUGUACUCAGGGAUAACUCCGAGAAAUCGGAGCUAAUACCGGAUGGUCCCGAAAGGGUAAAGAUUUUUCGGUACAAGAAGAUCCUGCGGCCUAUCAGCUAGUUGGUAAGGUAACGGCUUACCAAGGCUAUGACGGGUAGCUGGUCUGAGAGGAUGAUCAGCCACAAUGGGACUGAGACACGGCCCAUACUCCUACGGGAGGCAGCAGUAGGGAAUCUUUCGCAAUGGGCGCAAGCCUGACGAAGCAACACCGCGUGAUCGAUGAAGUUCUUUUGAAUGUAAAGAUCUUUUCUGGGGGAAGAAUUCUGACGGUACCCUAGGAAUAAGCACCGGCUAACUCCGU
rnacentral:rRNA from 1 species